AUACCGGGCCUUUUUGGGCUUGGUAAUUGGAAUGAGGGAGAGUUAAACGGACCAUCGAGUAUCCAUUGGAGGGCAAGUCUGGUGCCAGCAGCUGCGGUAAUACCAGCUCCAAUAGCGUAUAUUAAAGUUGUUGCAGUUAAAAAGCUCGUAGUUGGACUUGUGUGCGCUGUCCGCGGGUGGCCUGCGCCCAAAAGGGCGUUUCGGUUCGGCCCCGGUGGCGCCUUGAAAUCUGCAGCUGGGGGGACGUUGGCCUUAACUGGUCGGCGACCGCACGCCGGCUGCUCGGUUACUGUGAGAAAAUUAGAGUGUUCAAGGCAGGCAUUGGGUGCAAUUGAAUACAUUAGCAUGGAAUAAUAAAAUAUGGCUCCUGCCGUAUUUUGUUGGUUUUGACUGGUGGGAGUAAUGAUUGAUAGGGACGGUUGGGGGUGCUAGUAUUGAGCGGCCAGAGGUGAAAUUCAUGGAUUCGCUCAAGACUAACUUAUGCGAAAGCAUUCACCAAGGACGUCCUCUUUAAUCAAGAACGAAAGUUGGGGGAUCGAAGACGAUCAGAUACCGUCGUAGUCUCAACCAUAAACUAUGUCGACUUGGGAUCGGCGGUAGUUUUUUCAUUAAGACACUGUCGGGACCACGGGAGAAAUCAAAGUGUCUGGACUCUGGGGGAAGUAUGGUCGCAAGGCUGAAACUUGAAGGAAUUGACGGAAGGGCACCACCAGGAGUGGAGCCUGCGGCUUAAUUUGACCCAACACGGGGAAACUUACCAGGUCCAGAGAUAUAGAGGAUUGACAGAUUGAAGCUCUUUCUUGAUCACUUCGGUGGUGGUGCAUGGCCGUUCUUAGUUGGUGGAGUGAUUUGUCUGGUUAAUUCCGUUAACGAACGAGACCUCAGCCUGCUAGUGUAGUCGGCUGGAUUGCCUUUGGCGAUCCGUGAUUUCGACUUCUUAGAGGGACAAUCGACGCGCAGUCGAUGGAAGUUUGAGGCAAUAACAGGUCUGUGAUGCCCUUAGAUGUUCUGGGCCGCACGCGCGCUACACUGCUGGGCUCAGCGAGUUUUAUUUGGCCGAGAGGCCCGGUUAAUCUUGUGAAAUCCCAGCGUGCUUGGGCUCGCCUCCUGCAACUGGAGGCGCCAACGAGGAAUUCCUAGUAGACGCAGGUCAUCAACCUGCAUCGAUUACGUCCCUGCCCUUUGUACACACCGCCCGUCGUUCCAUAAGAGUGAGGCAUCCGGUGAAUUCUCGGGAGAGCCUGGGCGUGGCCAGCAAUGGUCUGCUCGGGUUUGAACUUGCAUAAACUUGGUGCCUAUGAUUAGGG
rnacentral:rRNA from 1 species